rnacentral:rRNA from 1 species
AUUGAACGCUGGCGGCAUGCCUUACACAUGCAAGUCGAACGGUAACAGGUUAAGCUGACGAGUUGCGAACGGGUGAGUAAUGUAUCGGAACGUGCCCAGUCGUGGGGGAUAACUGCUCGAAAGAGCAGCUAAUACCGCAUACGACCUGAGGGUUAAAGCGGUGGAUCGCAAGACCUCGCGCGAUUGGAGCGGCCGAUAUCAGAUUAGGUAGUUGGUGAGGUAAAGGCUCACCAAGCCGACGAUCUGUAGCUGGUCUGAGAGGACGACCAGACACACUGGGACUUAGACACGGCCCAGACUCCUACGGGAGGCAGCAGUGGGGAAUUUUGGACAAUGGGCGCAAGCCUGAUCCAGCCAUGCCGCGUGCGGGAAGAAGGCCUUCGGGUUGUAAACCGCUUUUGUCAGGGAAGAAAAGGUUCUGGCUAAUACCUGGGACUCAUGACGGUACCUGAAGAAUAAGCACCGGCUAACUACGUG